AAGAAGUUAGUUUAAGGGAAAAACAAAUGAUUUCGACUCAUUAAAUCUUGAGCACAACCAAGCCUUCUUC
rnacentral:tRNA from 1 species